GGGGAUUUAGCUCAGUGGUAGAGCGCUUGCCUGGCAAGCACAAGGCCCUGGGUUCAGUCCCCA
rnacentral:tRNA from 1 species